GGUAUGAUUCAUGACUGGGGUGAAGUCGUAACAAGGUAACCGUAGGGGAACCUGCGGUUGGAUCACCUCCUUA
rnacentral:rRNA from 2 species